rnacentral:rRNA from 1 species
UUGCUCCUGCUGACGAGCGGCGGACGGGUGAGUAACGCGUAGGAAUCUGCCUAGUAGAGGGGGACAACAUGUGGAAACGCAUGCUAAUACCGCAUACGCCCUAAGGGGGAAAGGAGGGGACUCUUCGGAGCCUUCCGCUAUUAGAUGAGCCUGCGUGAGAUUAGCUAGUUGGUAGGGUAAAGGCCUACCAAGGCGACGAUCUCUAACUGGUCUGAGAGGAUGACCAGUCACACUGGGACUGAGACACGGCCCAGACUCCUACGGGAGGCAGCAGUGGGGAAUAUUGGACAAUGGGCGCAAGCCUAAUCCAGCCAUGCCGCGUGUGUGAAGAAGGCCUUAGGGUUGUAAAGCACUUUCAGGGGUGAGGAAGGGUAAUGGAUUAAUACUUCAUUACUUUGACGUUAGCCCCAGAAGAAGCACCGGCUAACUCUGUGCCAGCAGCCGCGGUAAUACAGAGGGUGCAAGCGUUAAUCGGAAUUACUGGGCGUAAAGCGCGCGUAGGUGGUUUGUUAAGUCGGAUGUGAAAUCCCAGGGCUCAACCUUGGAAUGGCACCCGAUACUGGCUAGCUAGAGUAUGGUAGAGGGGUGUGGAAUUUCCUGUGUAGCGGUGAAAUGCGUAGAUAUAGGAAGG